rnacentral:rRNA from 1 species
AUACGGAGGGUCCAAGCGUUGUUCGGAUUUAUUGGGCGUAAAGCGAGUGUAGGCGGUUUGACAAGUCGGAUGUGAAAUCCCAGGGCCCAACCCUGGAACUGCAUCCGAUACUGUCAGGCUAGAGUCCCGGAGAGGGUGGCGGAAUUCCCGGUGUAGGGGUGAAAUCCGUAGAUAUCGGGAGGAACACCAGUGGCGAAGGCGGCCACCUGGACGGUGACUGACGCUGAGACUCGAAAGCGUGGGUAGCAAACAGGAUUAGAAACCCGAGUAGUCC